rnacentral:rRNA from 1 species
UACAGAGGUGGCAAGCGUUGUUCGGAAUUACUGGGCGUAAAGCGCGUGUAGGCGGCUCGGAAAGUCGGGUGUGAAAGCCCUGGGCUUAACCCAGGAAGUGCACUCGAAACUUCCGAGCUGGAGUCCUGGAGAGGAAGGCGGGAAUUCUCGGUGUGAGAGGUGAAAUUCGUAGAAUAUCGAGAGGAACACCGGUGGCGAAGGCAGGCC